rnacentral:rRNA from 1 species
UGCCAGCCGCAGCGGUAAUACGGAGGGUGCAAGCGUUGUCCGGAAUCACUGGGUGUAAAGGGUGUGGAGGCGGGAUUGUAAGUCAGAGGUGAAAUCCUACAGCUCAACUGUAGAACUGCCUUUGAUACUGCAAUUCUUGAGUUUCGGAGAGGUCAUUAGAAUUCGUGGUGUAGCGGUGAAAUGCGUAGAUAUCACGAGGAAUACCAGAGUCGUAGGCGGAUGAAUGGACGAAGACUGACGCUGAUUCACGAAAGCUUUGGGAGCAAACAGUAUUAGAUA